rnacentral:tRNA from 1 species
GGGCUCGUAGCUCAGCUGGCUAGAGCGCCGCCCUUGCAAGGCGGAGGCCUCGGGUUCAAAAGACUGACCCAGUUUAAACCUGCUGGGCAGGAUUGAAAGUCCCGACGAGUCCA